rnacentral:rRNA from 1 species
UUNAAGACUAAGAUCAACCUUUGAUUAAAACUUAAAGAGCAUGGCGGCCAUAGAAAUUUUUCAGGGGAACUUACCUAGUAAUAGAUAAUCCACAAGAUUACCUAACCUUACUUAAAAAGCUUGUAUACCGCCGUCUAGGCAUCUCUUAUGGAGGCUCCGAAUUUUUGUACAAAAGUUUAUGUCAGGUCAUGGUGCAGCCUAUAGUAAGGAUCAACGGCGAGUUACAAUAAAAACUAUUUUUGAACAGAAAAUUUAAAAAUUUUUUAGAAAAUGGACUUGAAAGUAAUAUCUCAAUUAAAAAUACAAUUUGAACUUUUAAUUCUGUGGUGC